rnacentral:rRNA from 1 species
AUGGAUCCUGGUUUAAAUCUAUAUGGCCCUAGGAUGGGACUGCGGCCGAUCAGGCUGUUGGUGAGGUAAUGGCCCACCAAACCUAUAACCGGUACGGGCUUUGAGAGGAGAAGCCCGGAGAUGGGCACUGAGACAAGGGCCCAGGUCCUAUGGGGCGCAGCAGGCGCGAAACCUUUGCAAUAGGCGAAAGCGUGACAGGGUUACUCUGAGUGAUUUCCGCUAAGGGGAUCUUUUGGCACCUCUAAAAAUGGCGCAGAAUAAGGGGUGGGCAAGUCUGGUGUCAGCCGCCGCGGUAAUACCAGCUCCCCGAGUGGUCGGGACGAUUAUUGGGCCUAAAGCAUCCGUAGCCGGUUGUGCAAGUCUUCCGUUAAAUCCAGCCGCUCAACGGAUGGGCUGCGGAGGAUACUACAGGACUAGGAGGCGGGAGAGGCAAGCGGUACUUAGUGGGUAGGGGUAAAAUCCUUUGAUCCAUUGAAGACCACCAGUGGCGAAGGCGGCUUGCCAGAACGCGCUCGACGGUGAGGGAUGAAAGCUGGGGGAGCAAACCGGAUUAGAUACCCGGGUAGUCCCAGCUGUAAACGAUGCAGACUAGGUGAUGCAAUAGCCAAGAGUCAGCCCAGUGUCGCAGGGAAGCCGUUA